UACGUAGGGACCAAGCGUUGUUCGGAUUUACUGGGCGUAAAGGGCGCGUAGGCGGCAAUUCAAGUCAUCUGUGAAAUCUCCGGGCUUAACUCGGAACGGUCAGGUGAUACUGCUUUGCUAGAGUGCGGAAGGGGCAAUCGGAAUUCUCGGUGUAGCGGUGAAAUGCGUAGAUAUCGAGAGGAACACCUGAGGCGAAGGCGGGCUACUGGGCCGAUACUGACGCUGAUGCACGAAAGCGUGGGGAGCAAACAGG
rnacentral:rRNA from 1 species